AACGAACGCUGGCGGCAGGCUUAACACAUGCAAGUCGAACGAGAUCUUCGGCUCUAGUGGCAGACGGGUGAGGAACACGUGGGAACAUCCCUUUCAGUUCGGAAUAACGUUGGGAAACUAACGCUAAUACCGGAUACGUCCUUCGGGAGAAAGAUUUAUCGCUGAAAGAUUGGCCCGCGUCUGAUUAGCUAGUUGGUGAGGUAAUGGCUCACCAAGGCUACGAUCAGUAGCUGAUCUGAGAGGAGGAUCAGCUACAUGGGGACUGCGACACGGCCCCAACUCCUACGGGAGGCAGCAGUGGUGAAUAUUAGACAAUGGGCGCAAGCCUGAUCCAGCCAUGCCGCGUGAGUGAUGAAGGCCUUCGGGUUGUAAAGCUCUUUUAUCCGGGAAGAUAAUGACUGUACCGGAAGAAUAAGCCCCGGCAAACUUCGUGCCAGCAGCCGCGGUAA
rnacentral:rRNA from 1 species